AACACAUGAUCUCAGCAAGUUCUGUCACAGCUAUGGGAUGGAGGAGAGCGAUGACCCUAAUUGGAUCCGCUGUGACAUCUGUGACAGGUGGUUUCACCACGAGUGUGUCCUGAGGCCAGAUCUUGAUGGGGAUUACCUGUGCCCAGCAUGUGUAAUCAAUGCCUACCUCACCUUUCUUGUGAGGAAAUAUAAUAAAAUAAGUCCAGAAAAGGCUGGUGUCAUCGACAGUUUUUGCAUGACGGCAAUUUGGCAAGGGAAACAACAAAGACUC